rnacentral:rRNA from 1 species
GUGGGGAAUUUUGGACAAUGGGCGCAAGCCUGAUCCAGCCAUGCCGCGUGCAGGAUGAAGGCCUUCGGGUUGUAAACUGCUUUUGUACGGAACGAAAAGACUUCUUCUAAUACAGGAGGUCCAUGACGGUACCGUAAGAAUAAGCACCGGCUAACUACGUGCCAGCAGCCGCGGUAAUACGUAGGGUGCAAGCGUUAAUCGGAAUUACUGGGCGUAAAGCGUGCGCAGGCGGUUAUAUAAGACAGAUGUGAAAUCCCCGGGCUCAACCUGGGAACUGCAUUUGUGACUGUAUAGCUAGAGUACGGUAGAGGGGGAUGGAAUUCCGCGUGUAGCAGUGAAAUGCGUAGAUAUGCGGAGGAACACCGAUGGCGAAGGCAAUCCCCUGGACCUGUACUGACGCUCAUGCACGAAAGCGUGGGGAGCAAACAGGAUUAGAAACCCCGGUAGUCC